rnacentral:lncRNA from 1 species
GCAAGAAGCUCUGGGAUCAAUUAAAAUGCCAGGCUUUUCCAGGCUGGUUUCCAGCGCAUCUGUGCAUGAUUCCACAUAAAUUUAGGGAAUUAGAGAUCAGACAAAGUUAUAAGACAGCUGUUGAUGUCCCACUCACCAGUUAGGAGGAUUGAGAAGAAGCUGCUUUCCAGGAAAUCCCAGUCGACUUCCAGAUAGAUCUCUUUGGUCAAAAAUGUGUCACAGCUCCAACUCUUUUUUUGUAAGAUGGUGAACACAGGCAGGGGCCACAUCUGACUUACCUCUAGCUCCAGGUACUAAAGAGCCACUGGGGAGAGCUCAGUCAUGUAAUCCAAUACUAUCUAGCAGGAAGACUAUUUCAAAAAGUAGAUGAAAGUAGGAGAGCUGAGUAUGUUAGCCUAUGAAAGGACUGUGUCUUCUAUCUCUUGGAUUGCUCACUCUGGAGAAGCCAGCCAUCAUGCUGAAGGUCCAUGUGACAAGGGACAGAGGCCUGACAAAAUCCAUGUGAGUGAGCCUGCAAGAGGGUCCUCUGCAAGAUAAUCCUUCAGAUGACACCACAGACGUAGUUGACAACUGGACUGCAAUCUAAUAAAACACCUUGAGACAGAGGCACUCAGCUAAACCUAACCCUGAUUCCUGACACAUGGAAGCUGCAAGACAUGAACUACGGAGUCCCCAUCCAAGGCACUGAAUGAGAACAUCUGGAACACUCAAUAAAUAUUUCAUCAACAAAUAA